rnacentral:rRNA from 1 species
AGCGUAGGCGGGAAGAUAAGUUGGGAGUGAAAUUUACGGGCUCAACCUGUAACGUGCUUUCAAUACUGUUUUUCUUGAAUAUAGGAGAGGUAGACGGAAUUUCAGGUGUAGCGGUGGAAUGCGUAGAUAUCUGAAAGAACACCAGUUGCGUAGGCGGUCUACUGGCCUAAUAUUGACGCUGAGGCUCGAAAGUUAGGGGAGCGAACAGGAUUAGAUACCCUGGUAGUCCUAACCGUAAACGAUGGAUACUAGUUGCUGGAGGCGACUUCGGUGACGAAGCUAACGCAUUAAGUAUCCCGCCUGGGAAGUACGCUCGCAAGAGUGAA